AGUUUGUCCAUGUAGGCGGGCACCACCGCCGCGGCACCGCAAAGGAUCAGCGAUGGAGUGAUGCGGGACAGACCGGGAAACGGCGUGUGAUCCUCUAGCGUGGAUGCACUCAGCUGACUGCAAGGAAUCAAAGAGGGAAUACUGGUAAACACGACUAGCUGUUCGAUUCAGGUGUGAUUAUUUAUAUAGCGAGCAAAUUAGGUAGUAGGCAGCCACAAAGGUUUGUCGAGGUGACAUCAUGGCGACCUUGAGCAAAUCUAGUGCUUAGUGUUUGUGGCUAACAAAACGGGCUCAAAUGUCGACCACAAAUGUUUGUACUUGGCAGCAAACUGCAAAAUGUGCGUGCAUUUACUCACUUCUGGCGACUUUCCUUCUCGACCGUCUCAUUGGCGAAGGGAACGCCACUGAUGGCGAUGCCGCCGACUAUUAACUCCUGCAUGUUUAUGGGCUCACAAAUUCGCGCUGGCCACUUAGUCGGGAAUUUGCGCUAAACAAUAAACGAAUUCCGCGGAUUCCAGGCCAAAAUUAAAAAUUAUUUUCCGCCUUGCUCGCUCUCCAACGAUUCAAUUCGAUUCGAUUCGAUUCGGUAAACAAACUGAAGUUCUUUUGGGAACUCGUGGGAGAGACAACACUGUUCUUUUUGGCCAACCAACGACGACUGGCCGACGAAUAGGAAUGCCUUCGAAAAAUGUUUUCAGUUCGAGUUGAUGUG
rnacentral:lncRNA from 1 species